CGGGCUGUAGCGCAGCCUGGUAGCGCACCUGCUUCGGGAGCAGGGGGUCGGAGGUUCGAAUCCUCUCAGCCCGA
rfam:Marivita geojedonensis strain DPG-138 contig24, whole genome shotgun sequence.